UACAGAAAAACAGCAAAUUGGCCAACUCGUUUGUUACAGUUGUGUGACGUCAUCACUAGUCGCAAGCCCCCGAGCCGAUCUGACAGGCCGAGCACAUCUGCUACCUACACCGGCUCUGGGGCUGAAGGCGGGGGUCCGUCCGUGCUGGGUGGGGGUUCCGUGGACUGCAGUCGCGAAACCAAAGAUCCAUUUAAAAGCCGUUGGCCGUCGUUCUCGGCGCUGUUCUGUGUUCCCAACCAGCCCGCGGCUUCGACGUCUUUCCCGGAGGACAGCACGAGCCUGAAGACCUCGCGCGGGUGGAAUUCCAGAACAAGUUCUACACGGGUCAGGGCUUCGUUUGUGUCCUUCUCCUUUGAGAGCAUCCUGGAGGGCCGGUUUGACGAAUGAUCACGCCCUCCGUCAGACUAAAGAGUCUCCAGCUUUCCCUCUGUUUCUCUGUGGAGAUGUUAGUGUGCAUGAGCCCUGGUGCACCUCUGUGUCGCCCUCUAGUGGCUGUUUUAAAAGGUUCUGCAUGAGCUGAUUUUCUUUAGGCCAGCUCACCACUGCUGCUGUAUUUUUUUCCUUAAGUGAUGUGAGAUUUUUCUCUGCAUUUCCUGAAACAUGAACACAUGGGACUUCCACUAUAAGACAUGCCAUUUAAUUGACAAGAAUUUGUCCUAAAGAGCAAAUCAUCUCUCAGUUUACUUCCUGGCUGUUUGCUCAUCUGAACAACACCAGAGAAGGUUUGAGUGGAUAAACUGCAACAAGGACUCAAAAAUAAAUCUUCACAUUUCCACUGGAGGUUGAUAUGUGUAUUAGUCUCAAAGAAGAGCUUCAUGACAACGGGUGUUGUUAUUGUUUCAGUGUGCACUGUGUGUGUGGUGGUGAACUGGUCAAAACUGAAAACCAAGUUGGAACAGCUCAGAUGUUUCCAGGUCUUUAAUGUUGGCUAAAAAAGCCUUCUCCCUUUGGGUUCACUCACACAAUCAUAUCAUGUAAUUGUGACUGUGUUUUACCAAAUAAAAGUAAAUGUUUAGUUCCAAAUUCUAUUUAUUAAACUUGUGAAGAAGCCCCUACAGAGAGCAGUUUGAAGACAGUGAGUGUAAUGUAAUGUGUUGUGCAAUAAACCUAGAGAUUCAU